CGUGCUUAAUACAUGCAAGUCAACUUGACUUUAGAUAGCAAUAUCGAAAGUAGGGUGGCGCACGGGUGCGUAACGCGUAGGUAAUCUGCCCUGAGGUCUGACAAUAACCCGUCGAAAGGCGGGCUAACAUCAGAUGAUAUAUAAUCACGACAUCGUGGAAAUAUCAAAUCUUCGGAGCCUUGGGAUGAGCCUGCGUCUGAUUAGGUAGUUGGCGGAGUAAUAGCCCACCAAGCCUACGAUCAGUAGCUGGUCUGAGAGGAUGAUCAGCCACACUGGAACUGAGACACGGUCCAGACUCCUACGGGAGGCAGCAGUAAGGAAUAUUGCUCAAGUAGGGGGGAAACCCUGAAGCAGCAACGCCGCGUGAAGGAUGAAAUUACUUUUGUAUAGUAAACUUCUGUAAGAUGGGAAAAAUAUUCUCCUCGGGAGAAUUGAUUGUACCAUCAGAGUAAGCCCCGGCUAACUACGUG
rnacentral:rRNA from 1 species